rnacentral:tRNA from 1 species
GACCACAUCUUCUCUUGUUCCCAACGACCCCUCGACGCAGGCGA